GAGGAAGUUACUCCACCUCUCCCUACUGGUUUUGAGAGUGUUCUUCACCAGAAUUGUAGAUUUGGGGAUUGAUAGGUGAGUUUUAACAUUGGAAUUGAAAGUUUAAGCUUAAGUGCUGAAAUUUGAGGUUGUAAUGUUAGUUUUGUGUUUUUGAUGUUUAGAUCUUUGAAGUGGUUUGGUUGCUGGUUCUGGGGGAUUUCAGUUGGUCUCGUCAGGGUUUCCAGUGACUUCGUGACCUCGGGCUGCGGUGGAUUAGCGCUAGAGGUGGGUUUAAUGUGAUGCUUACCGAGUUACACGGAUUUCCUGUUAAAUCUAGUAGUUGUCGACAUGUAUUCGUCGUUUUUGUACAGCAUGUUUAAUUGCUCGAUUCGCUGAUUUACGGAGGUUCUAAAUUUGAAUUGGAGCUUAUACCAUUGUUAAAUAAUACAUGCUGGACUUGGAUUUGACUUAGGAGAAAACUGCCGAUUCUACACUGUUAUAUGUUAAAACUACAAGAUUUAACUCUAGAAGUCGUAGUUUGUUGUACCACCGCAGUUUGUGGGCGGUAGAUAUCUAGAAUAGUGUAGAAUGUAUUUACGCUCGUGCUAGGAUGUCGAGCUUAUUUUUACAGCAGAAUUUAAGCUGUUCCGGACUGUCGGGUGCUUUUGAGGUUGACGGUGGACCCAGAUUGCUGUUUUUGCAUUAGAUUGUACCGAGAGCACGUGAGUUUGGUUGCUAGACCCUGUUUACUUGACUAUUGCCUGUGAGAGCCUGAUUAAGCUUGAUAGAGACACGCUUGCAUACUCGAUUAAGUAGCGCCCACGAAUGCCACUCCGGAGUCGGACUUAGUGCUGUUGUGUUGGUGUCGAUGUGUCCUAGUUGCACUUGCUCUCCAUGAACUGCUUAAUGUGGAGGUAGCUAUAUAGCUUCGACAGGCGGGACGGGUGAGUUCACAGUCCCUAAUGAGAUUGGGUCUGGAUUUGCAUUUCUUCAAAUAAUUAGUAUUGGAUCAUGAUAGUAUAGUGACAUAUAGCUGUAGAUUUGUUCCAGCUUCCUUUACUAUCGUUGAGCAUACCAUCUAUAGAUUUAGUGGAUGAGCCGUUGAGGUCGGUAGCGAUACCCACUGAGGAUUACUUUUUUCUGCAGUAGUUCUCACGCCUAGUUGUUGGAAUCUUUUGUAGAGCCUCCAGUUGCGGCUGCUGCUACUGCUGAUUCUGAUUGUGGCAAGGGCGUUGCGAGUUAGAGCUCUUUCAGACGAGUCACAGAGCUAGAAGAAUAACAGGUACAGGUAGUUGUAGUUUUUGGUUCUUUACAUACUAAUGUUGUACUUCGCUGGAGCGAGUUUUUCUGUACCCGGAUGCUAUGUAUGUAUUGGACCAUUAUUGUUAUAUAUGUUUUAUUCCUUUUUAGCAGUUCUAUAUUAUUGGUUGUAGUGUUGUAUGAUUAUAGGUACGUUACUGCGACCCUUCGUAUACAGAAAAAUUUUCUAUAUAUACAGCAGGUCUAUUAGCAUGCCCGAAGAAAUAAGGAAUCCGGGGCGUGACAGAUUAAGUUGGUAUCAGAACUUAGCAUUAGAUCGUUGGGACCUAGGAACCCUAAGUUUGACAAACCUUAGGAGGGCAAGACGCGAGAGGCGUGAUUUAUCGCGAAAGUCAGUGAUUGGUUGUUUAACUCCUCCUAGAGUUGAGUGAGAGAUUGAAGGAGUGUCUGUUUCGGCCUAGAAAAAUUAUGUUUGCUACAGACGACAAAAUUUUGAGGAGAAAUAGGGGCGGCCUUCUAGACUUUUGUUCAUUGGGUCAAGAGUGUUUGUAUUUAUAUCUGACCCUUAUUUUUUUCUUGGCAGCUAUGUUUCGUCGCCGAGGUCGACCGACGACUAGGGAUCGUGUCGCACCUCCCGAGAUGCCUGAGCAGGCAGAGCCGAGUGCACGACCAGAGACGAGCGCACCCCCUGAUCUGAGGGAGUAGUUGGCUGUCUUGACAGAGAUGAUGAGGCAGCAGGAGGCGUUGUUACAGAGGAUGUGUGAGAGGUUAGCUCCGCCGCAGAGCACAGUACCAGAGCAGCCAGUUCCACCCCUGACUACUCCAAUGGCCGCACUAGCCGCAGCUAUACCCCCACCAGUGGCAGUUCCCACAGCGUCAGUUGCAUCUUUUGGUGAGGCACCGUAGAUGACUGAGGCUCAGCAGAAGUGGAUGACUGAGAGACUUGCCCGUUUUCGUCGUUUUGAUCCGCCGACCUAUGACGGCAGCUGCAUAGAGGCUUGGGUUGUAGAGGGCUGGGUCAACGCGAUGGAAAAACUGUUUGAGAAUUUGUUCAUUCCUAAGCGUGAGCAGGUACACCUUGGAGUUCACUGCUUGGCCGGUGAUGCACAUGCAUGGUGGAGGAGGGUGAAGUGAGACUAUAGUUUGGUAGCUUCGCAAAUGAGAUGGGAUGAGUUCUGUGGCAUACUGUAUGAGAUGUAUUUUUCCAACGGUAUAAAGCAGAAGCUCGAGGAGGAUCUAAAGAGGCUUCAGCAGGGGGAGCGACCAGUUCAGAAGUAUAUCCGUGAGUUUACUCGACUCCUGUACUGUGUUCCAUUUGUGGCUAGAGAUGAGGCGCACAGGGUAUACCUUUUUGAGCGAGGUUUGAGACCAAAGAUUUUUAGGUUGGUGCAGGUGCAGAGGUUGAGGAGCUUGGACGCGUCUAUGGAGCAGGCCCUGUGGGUAGAGAGAAUCUAUUCGGGAGAGGACUCAGGUGUCGGGGCAGAGUCAGGACAGGAAGCGCCCAUUUCCAGAUGACGGAGGACAGUCGAGCAGCAGACGUCUGCCGAGGCCUCCACGGUCACAUUCUCAGGGUUGUGGGUUUUCGGGGCGUCAGUGUUCUAGAAGAUCGCGUUAGCAGGGGCAGGCAAAGUGGACUCCGCAGUGUGUGAUCUGUGGGGGACCACACUGGCCUCGACAGUGUGAGUAGAGAGAGGGUCGCUGUUUUACCUAUGGUCAGUCUGGAUAUAUGAGGUCAGCUUGUCCCCUAGCAGCAUCUCCAGCACCAUCGACAGCGUCAGCGCAGCCAACACCUCAACAGUCUUACGGGGCACCACCGAGUUACCGCCAGGAGGAAAGAGCAUCUGUGCCGGGUCAGGGUGAGCUGCGACAGCAGGCUCCGAGUGGCAGGAUAUUUGCAGCCCAGGUGGAGGACUCUACAGCAGCCGACCGAGUGGUGGCAGGUAUCAUUUUGAUUUCCGGCAUUAGAGCUCGUACACUUUUUGAUACCAGUGCGUCGCAUUCUUUUGUUAGCCGAGCAUUUGCAUUGUUGUAUGAUCUAGAGUUAGGGCCAUUGUCACAGGCACGAGAGGUGCAGAUCCACGACCAUAUUUUACAGGUUGCAGAGUAUUGUUGGUCGUGUCCGGUGCAGUUAGAUUCGUGGAUCAUGCUCGCAGAUCUGUUUGUUUUAGGGCAGCUGCAGGACUUUGACGUUAUGUUCCGCAUGAAUGGACCGGCGCGGUACUAUGCUACUAUUGACUAUGGAGCGAGAACUGUGACGUUCCGCAAGCCAGGCAAGGAGGAGUUCACUUUCAGAUGCUGCAGGAGUAUGUUGUUUGCCACUUGGAUUUCUUCGGCGAGGGCUCGACAGCUGAUGAGUAGAGGAUGUAUUGAUUUUCUAGCGACGGUUAUGGAGGUGCCUACUGCGGCGCCAGGACUCGAGGAUAUCCCUAUAGUCCGCGAGUUUUCGGAUGUGUUUUCCAUGGAGUUGAUGACGAUGCCGCCGAAUAGAGAGAUCGAGUUUGUGAUUCAUGUAGUUCCUGAAACUGCACCAAUCUCGAAGGCACCUUACCGGAUGGCACUGGCAGAGCUGAGAGAGCUAAAGGCGCAGCUUCAGGAUCUAAUGGAUAAGGGGUAUGUGAGACCCAGUGUGUCGCCUUGGGGAGCGCCGGUGUUAUUCGUGAAGAAGAAUGAUGGUUCACUUAGAUUAUGUGUGGAUUAUCAGGAGCUGAAUAAAGUGACCAUCAAGAACAAGUAUCCUUUGUCGCGUAUCAAUGAUCUGUUUGAUCAGCUGUAAGGAUCUUGUGUCUUCUCGAAGAUAGAUCUCCAGUCAGGUUACCACCAGUUAAGGGUGAGGGCCGAGGAUGUUCCCAAGACGUCUUUUCGGACUUUGUACGGGCAUUAUGAGUUUACCGUGAUGCCUUUUGGAUUGACCAAUGUCCCUGCCGCAUUUAUGGAUUUUAUGAACCGAGUGUUCAAAAUGUUCUUGAAUAGAUUUGCGGUAGUCUUCAUCGAUGAUAUCUUCAUAUACUCCCGGAGUGAUAACGAGCAUGAGGAGCACUUGAGGAUUGUGCUACAGCUUCUAAGAGAGAUAAGUUGUAUGCCAAGUUGAAGAUGUGCGAGUUCUGGUUACGGGUGGUUGCUUUCUUCGGCCAUGUAACUUUUGCAGUUGGUGUAGCAGUGGACCUGAAGAAGAUUAAUGCUAUUCGGGAUUGGCCCACACCGACGACGGUGACGGAGGUGAGGAGUUUUCUUGGACUUGCUGGAUAUUACCGUCGGAUUGUGGAAGGCUUUGCGAAGCUUUUCACACCUCUCACUCGAUUGACUCGUAAAGGAAUUAAGUUCAUCUGAAGUAAGAAUUGUUAGAGGAGCUUCUAUGAGUUGAGACGGAGGUUGACGUCGGCUCCUAUCCUUGCCCUUUCGGUUAUGGGGAAAGGAUUUGUGAUCUACAGUGAUACAUCGCACAGUAGUUUGGGCUGUGUACUGAUGCAGCAUGAUAGGAUAAUUGCUUAUGCUUCACGGCAAUUGAAGGAUUACGAGAAGAAUUAUCUUACGCAUGACUUGGAGCUUGCCGCAGUGAUUUUUGCUUUGAAGUUGUGGCGGCAUUACUUGUAUGGCGAGCACUGCGAGGUGUUUACUGAUCAUAAAAGUUUCAAGUAUCUGUUCACCCAAAAGGAGUUGAAUCUGAGGCAAAACCGCUGGUUGAAGUUAUUAAAGGACUAUGAUAUUAGUAUUCAGUAUCAUCCCGGCAAGGCGAAUGUGGUGGCAGAUGCGUUGAGCAGAAAAUCAGUGCAGAGCUUGAGCACAUUGAUCACUCAGCAGAGGCCGUUACUUGAGGAGUUACAGCGCUCGAGGUUGUGUCCUAUGGGUCUACUAUAAGACUGAUGUCUAUGGUCUUGCAACCCACUCUGUUGGAUAGGAUCUGGAAGAAGCAAAGUGGAGACUCUCACCUGUUGAGGAUUCGAGAGUAGUUAGAGAGAGGACAGGCAGAGAGUUUUGUUGUGAACAGUUCGGGAAUACUACAGUAUAUGGACCGACUGUGUGUGCCUGUGGAUUCAGAGAUUCGAGAGAAUAUAUUGAGAGAGGCUCAUUGUUCACCUUAUACAGUUCACCCUGGUGGAACCAAGAUGUAUAAGGAUUUGAAGGCACAGUUCUGGUGGAAUAGAAUGAAGAGAGACAUUGGCAAAUUUGUAGCUUAGUGUUUGAUUUACCAAUAGAUAAAUGCAGAACAUCAGAUACCUAUUGGCAAGCUUCAGAGUCUGCCAGUGCUAGAGUAGAAAUGGGAGCAGAUCAUGAUGGACUUUGUCAUGGGAUUGCCUAGAGCAUAGAGCGGUUUCGAUGCUAUUUAGGUGAUAGUGGACAGACUGACUAAGUCUGCUCACUUCUUAUCGGUACAGACCACCUGGUCCAGAGAGAGACUCGCGCAGCUAUAUCUGGAUGAGAUUGUUAGGCUGCAUGGUGUGCCGAUUUCGAUCGUAUUGGACAGAGACCCGAGAUUUGUUUCGCACUUUUGGAGGAGUCUUCAGACUGCCUUGAGUACACAGUUGCAUUUCAGCACAGCGUUUCACCCACAGACGAAUGAUUAGUCAGAACGGACCAUUCAGACUCUGGAGGGCAUGCUGAGGGCAUGCGUCUUGGACUUUGGAGGAGGGUGGCAUCGAUAUUUGUGACUGGCUGAGUUUGCUACAACAACAGCUAUCAAAGAGCAUUCAGAUGGCUCCGUUUGAGACGUUGUAUGGAUGUAGAUGUCGAUCCCCUUUGUUUUAGAGUGAUGUAGGUGAAAGGAAGACGCUAGGGCCUGAGAUUUUGCUAGAGGGUGAGAAAAAGGUUAGAGUAGUGCGACGACACCUUUUGACAACCUAGAGCCGAGAGAGGAGUUACGCCGAUACCAAGAGACGAGACUUAGAGUUCCAGGUUGGAGAUCAUGUGUUUCUGAAAGUCUUGCCAUCCAGAGGCAUACGCAGAUUUGGAGUGCGUGGAAAGUUGAGUCCACGCUUUGUUGGCCCUUUUGAGGUAUUGUAUUGAGUUGGACCAGUUCCCUACAGGAUUGCUCUACCCCUACGACUGGUCAAUAUUCAUGAUGUUUUCUACGUCUCAGCAUUGAGAAGAUAUGUGUUCGAUUCCUCUCACGUGAUUGACUUCUCUCCGCUAGAGCUUGGCGAGGACUUGAGAUAUGAGGAACGACCGGUGCAAAUUCUGGCUCAUGAAACGAAGGAAUUGCGCAACCGGGUCAUUCCUUAUGUAAAAGUGCAGUGGAGUAAUCACAAGGAGCGUGAAGCGACUUGAGAGCCUGAGACGGUGAUGCGAGAGUCCUACUCCUACUUGUUUAAUGCUCAAAAUUGAGGUAUGACUUUAAGUUUUAAGAACGAAACUUUUUAUAGUGGGGGAGGAUGUAGUGUUCUAGAGACUGGUCGACGCAUCUUGUGAGUGUCGGACUCAGUCGGAGUCGUUUCUGCAUGAAAUAGAUGCAGAAAUGGACUUGGCGCACUCAAAGGAGCAAAAGUGAAGUUUUGCCAGUUUCGGGCACCCAGAACUGGGUUUGGGUCGCCCAGAAGUUGAGUGCUGAAUCGAACAGAACUGGAAGCCAAUUCGGAUACUAGUUUCGGGCGCCCAGAAGAGGGUCAGAAAGUUUACUUCGUGAAUAUCAUUUGUGCUAACACGUGGUUAGUGGUAGGUGAGGUCCGCCGGACCAGGAUAUGGGCGCAGCAGACCGUGGACAGAGGAACCGAAGAGGAGUAGUUGUGCAGGCUGGAGGUUUCAGACGCCCAGAACAUGGUUCCGGGCGCCCGAAAUCGGCCGUUUCUGCAGGGAUAGCAGGUUAGUGUCCUUUGUUCCUGAGGCUUAUCUAACUCUUUUUUCUCCCUAUAAAUAGGUAGUGUUCGACUCCAGUGAGCUCUUUUCAACUCUUUUUCACAGUGAACCCAUAUUUUGCAUUCCAACCCCUUUAAACUCCUCAAAUUACUCCAAAUUCGACAAUUUGAAGCUUGAGAGCUGCAGUUUCAGCAGAUUCCAGCAGCGACCUUCGGCAUUUUGGCUCAUGUGCGACGUAGAAAUGUCGGAUUGCUGCAAAACAUGGUUUUGUGGUUAGCUGACUUCCUGAAGAUUUCGUGGAACUCUGUUUGAUAGAAAUUGAUUGAGGUUUGUAUAGUCAAUUUCGUGUUUUACUGAACUGCUGGUGUUUUGGUCCCGAAAGUGAGUUUUCUUUGAUUGUUUUUGGACCAAUUCUUGGAGAGAGCUAGAUUUUCGACCAGAGGAAGUUACUCCACCUUUCCCUACUGGUUUUAAGAGUGUUCUUCACCAGAAUUGUGGAUUUGGGGAUUGAUAGGUGAGUUUUGACAUUGGAAUUGAAGGUUUAAGCUUAAGUACUGAAAUUUGAGGUUGUAAUGCUAGUUUUGGUGUUUUUGAUGUUUAGAUCUUUGGAGUGGUUUGGUUGCUGGUUCUGGGAGAUUUCUGUUGGUUUCGGCAGGGUUUCCAGGGACUUCGUGACCUCG
rnacentral:lncRNA from 1 species